CGGGUGAGUAACGCGUGGGUAACCUACCCUGUACACACGGAUAACAUACCGAAAGGUAUGCUAAUACAGGAUAAUAUAUUUGAGAGGCAUCUCUUGAAUAUCAAAGGUGAGCCAGUACAGGAUGGACCCGCGUCUGAUUAGCUAGUUGGUGAGGUAACGGCUUACCAAGGCGACGAUCAGUAGCCGACCUGAGAGGGUGAUCGGCCACAUUGGAACUGAGACACGGUCCAA
rnacentral:rRNA from 1 species